CUGUGGUGGAGAGAGAAAUUCUUUCUUAUAUCUCUCCCUCUUUUCGGUCGAUUUUCUUCGUCUUCUCAAAAAAUUUAUCAUCUUCUUAGAAUCUUCUUUUGUACCAAUCUUUUCUUGAUCCAUGGAUUCACCCAGCGGUAAGGAUCCUCAAUCUGGAAAAUUAGUUAUCAAGGUGACGAAGCCUAAUUCUUUUGCUAGUUCAGGAGGCAACGAUUCUCUCAAAGGGAAGCCUUCGCAAGAAAAGAGAGAUUCUGAAGACGAAGUUAACCGAGGAAAGAAGAGAAUUAAAAAGUCUCAUCCUUAUUUUUAACUUAAAUUACAUGUUUAAUUUUGUUAAUUUUGAUAUCGAAAUGCAAUUUUAUUUCUAGGGUUCAUAAGAAUUAGGGGUUUUUCUGUUUUUUAUAUUAAUUAGGGUUUAUAAUUGAAAUUUAAGAUUUUGA